UCGCGCAGCAAGACGGCCUACCGCUGCCGCCGGCCCCAGCCACUACCGUUGCCACCUCUCCCGCGAAAAAAGGUCAUGCGCAUCCUUAGCUGCCCUCCACCAUCUCCUCCUCCACAUCAUCCUGUUCCCCUUCUCCUCAUCCCCCUUUCCCUUCUUGCUAGGGAUUGACUUGGCUAUUAGCUGCUCCAGCGCCGGCCUCGAGUCCUAUGACGGUGGCCUCGCUAGUCUGCGGGAGAAGGUUCUUGAUCUGUGCGGCUCGCCAAGGAGGUCCAGAUUAACGGUAGCCCGUGAGCAGCUCCGUAUUGCCUGGUCCAUCGGAGGGGAGAAUUCUCAGCUUUUCGCUCUACGGAGAAAACAACCAUUCUCAGCUUCGAGCUCCAGAAGUGACACAUCCUGGUUACCAAAGGUUCUUUUGUCAAGAUGGAUGGGUGUGCGUAUAAUUUUUUUUUUUUUUGAAACGAGCAGGCAGGAGAGCUACCACUUUAUUAAUAAAGGGGAAUGCCCGAAAGGUGAAACAGACUAGAAAACUUUACAUGCUGCACACUGCAAGCUUAGCUCGCGGACUGAAGAGAUAAAAGGAACAGACACCCCUAUAUACACUCAA